AAAGUCGUAACAAGGUUUCCGUAGGUGAACCUGCGGAAGGAUCAUUACUUGAUCUGGAAGAGGAGGCAUUUGCAAAAAUGUCGCCUUUUUUGCUUUGUGAACUGAAUUGUACUAUUGUUUUUUUUUAAAAAGUUGUGUUUUCUUCGGAAAACAAAAUAAAGACAACUUUCAGCAAUGGAUCUCUUGGCUCUU
rnacentral:misc_RNA from 1 species